ACCAGCCUCUGCCGCUCGCAAGGGCAGGCACAGGAGCCGUGGUUGGCAGAGGGCAGCGCCUCUCCCAACCGCGGCUCCUGUGCCUGCCCUUGCAAGUGGCAGAGGCUGG